UGAAUUUUCUUUUUUAUUAUUAUUAUUUUUUAUUUUAUGUAUGUGAGUAGUUGUCUUCAUACACACCAGAAGAGAGCAUCGGAUCCCAUUAGAGAUGGCUGUGAGCCACCAUGUGGUUGCUGGGAAUUAAACUCAGGACCUCUAGAGCAGUCAGUGCUCUUAACCACUGACCAUCUCUCCAGCCCGGUGAAUUUUAAUUCUUAAUAUUCUUCACCAAUAAUAAUUGUACUGAAGAAGGAUAACAUUGGAAAAUAUACUUGAUUAGGGAACCAAGAUAUUUAUAAAAUAGACGUUCCUUGCUCCCUCUUUGGCAUUUUCUCAGGAAAGGAACUGUCCUAAAACUGAUGGAGUGAGCGAGAGACAAGAGAAACAUUUCUCCUUUGUGGGCAGGAGAGGGAGGCAAAGCUUGUAGGUUUUGAUUAUGUAUAGUGAAAUCACAUAGGGUUACAAUUUUAUUUAAUUAUGUAUAGUGGAAUCACAUAGGGUUAGAAUUUUAUUUGCUCCAAGGUAGUAGUGGACACUGGACAGAAAUGAAAAAUGCAAUCUCUGCACUGUAGAACUUAGUCUACCUAGGCUAUGAAAAAGAUAGACUGGACUUAGAGCUGUGUUCCAGUGUGCCUUUAUCCUUGCCUGUUCUCCUGAAGUGAAUGUAACACAAUGUUUCCCACCGUUGAAUAUACAAAUGAGAGGCCCUCUUAGGAGUCCAAUGCCAUUCAUACUGAAUUUUCCCGUUCAUCCUGGAACCACGUGACUAUUUGGCAUACUUUAUUUAUUCUCACUUUGAAAGAACUGGCUUGGUGACACCAAUGCGCCCCCCACGCCCCCAAGGAUGUCAAUCCCCAGAAACUAUGCUGGGUUUUUCAAGAAGGAUUGCCAUGGAAGACUUUUUUUUUCCCCCCGAGACAGUUUCUCUGUGUAGCCUUGGCUGUGCUGGAACUCUGUAGACCAGCUGGCCUCGAACUCAGAAAUCCGCCUGCCUCUGCCUCCGGAGUGCAGGGAUUAAAGGCGUGCACCACCACCUCCCAGCUUUUAUAGAACUUUUAAGAAAAGUGACAGCUUUGCUUGGUUCUUUAGUUGCGUUGGUAAAAGAUUAAAUGAAAAAUUUCAAAAUACCUGUCUAUUUCAUAAUCAGCUUAUCUUUUACAUAAAUUAUGUCAUUUUAAUAAAUAAAUUUAGCACAGCAUCUCAGCUCUGUACACCUUUGGGCCCAGUUUUCAGCUCUAUUAGAUCCUGAGUUUUUUGUUAACUGUGGGACUGUGGGCCUUAGGUUCACCUUCCCUCACAAAAAUCUGUUUGUCCUCUGACUAAAAUGUUUAAGGAGUUUAAAACUUGAGUGGCCUUAUAUAAAUAGAACUCUUGAGUUUACUAGCCUCAAGGAUGAGACCCAGAGCUGUUGGUACCAGGGACAUUUGAAGAAUGGUUUGGUUGCCUUGGAAGCCCAGGUUGUUGUUGUCUUUCAUUUUAAGUGAUUCAAGGGAUAAAACUUGUUCACCUCUGCCAAUGUCAGAGAUGCUAUGAUUCGCAUUUAAUGGCAUAAAGGAGAUAUCGGGGCAGGGUCUAAGGAGCCUUUAUUUUCUUCCUGUGUCAUUUCUGAGCAUCCAGUGACAGCGAGUGAGACCUUCAAGCUUAGGCGGCUAAGGAGCUAAGAUCUACUUAGACCGAAGGCUAUGACGAGGUUUCCAGGUAAAUAGUACAGAUGUGCUUAACUUGAUCCGCCUUUAAGGGAAAAGGGCCCAGUGGUAGGCUUCUUGCACAUGAAUUCUUUUCCACAUGAGUUGAGACUUGUUUGGGAUCUAUUCUAACAAUUUGCUUUUUUGUUGUUGUUUGAGAUUUUAAUAUAAUUACUACAUUUCUCCCUUCUCUUUCUUCCCUGUAAAUCCUCCCAUGUAUACCCCCCCCCUUUUCUAAUUUGGGGCUUUAGAAAAAAACUUAUACCCUGCUCCGUCUCUAUGUUACAAUAUGUAUGAUUUUAGGACUGAGUGUUUGGCACUGAAGAACCAGUUGAUGUGGUCUUCCACAGAGGAAUACCACACAACUCACUUUUGACUGAUUCUCUACCUUCUUAUUGCUAACACAUUUGCUCCGAUACUACAUAAGGAGAGAAGAGAAAGCAUUCUCACCCACAAAACCUUUCUUAAUAGAUCCAGAUUCAAUAUUGGAAUUUGUUUUUGUUUUUUGUUUGAUUGAUUGUUUUUAGCCAGACUGGUUUUUUUUUGGGGGGGGGGAGUACAAUCAUUUGAGAUGUAGCAUAUUCCUUCCUUGAAAUGUGCAGCAUAAAGAAUUUGGACGCCCACCGGGCGUGGUGGCGUAUGCCUUUAAUCCCAGCACUUGGGAGACAGAAUGAGUUUGAGGCUAGCCUGGUCUACAGAGUGAGUUCCAGGACAACCAGGGUUACACAGAGAAACUCUGUCUCGAACCCUCCACCCCAUCCACCCCCACCCAC
rnacentral:lncRNA from 1 species